CCAAUGAUAAAGUCACAGGCAACUUUCUGCCUGAGCUGUGGUACAUAUUGGCGAAGACACCAUCUUCUACCAGCAGUUUUCUCCCUUAGAAACCUCUGGGCCAGUUGCCACAGUUUCAAAUUUGGAGCCAGUCACAAGAUUGGUUUAAUAUUCAGGCAGCCCUGAAUCCAACAUCGAGCCAGCAACAGUGCCUGCUUGCAAGUGGGAAGGAAGAGAAGAUGGAGUGGGGGAAGAAAUGGAGGAAGAUUUCUCUCUGGAAGAGAAACUGUAAACAAGAAAGCAAGACCCAGGUCCCUGACGGAUUCUGUGGUGGGAGACUGCCCGAUGGCGUGCUCCCAGGCGGCCCCCAGCUGUGCGAGGUGCAGCUGGCUGGUGGGGCAGCCGUGGGAGACCUCGCAGCGCCUGGCGUCCCACGCUUGACUUGUGAGACUUGGCAGCUCAGUGUUUGCAAAGCUGGAGCUCUGCUGCUCUGAUGUUUCCCCUGAUGGCACCGGUGGAGCAGAUAGUGUCCCUGUGCAAUGCUGCUCUGGGCUCUGCGGGGUCUCCAUGAGCCAUGGGAUCUCGUCCCUGCCCCGUCACUGCUUCUUCAGCCCCUCUACGCUCAGGGAAAGCAUGCACGCAUUGGCAAACGCGUAGCCGAAAUGCAGAGCUCUGCUGCACACUCCGUGUCGAUGGCUCACGCGAUGCACGCAUCUUCUGCCCACAGUGGUUGUGUGAAAACCCUAGUCAGAAUUAAACAAAAUAGAUAAAAGGCU
rnacentral:lncRNA from 1 species